UAAGAGGGGGAUAACAUCGAAACGGGUGCUAAUACCGCAUAGUUUUCUUGAUCGCAUGAUCGGGAAAGGAAAGACGGCCUUUGUGCUGUCGCUUAUGGAUGGACCCGCGGCGUAUUAGUUAGUUGGUGAGGUAACGGCUCACCAAGACGAUGAUACGUAGCCGACCUGAGAGGGUGAUCGGCCACAUUGGGACUGAGACACGGCCCAAACUCCUACGGGAGGCAGCAGUAGGGAAUCUUCCGCAAUGGACGAAAGUCUGACGGGAGCAACGCCGCGUGAGUGAAGAAGGGUUUUUUCCGGGAUCGUAAAACUCUGUUGUCAGAGAAGAACAAGUUGGAGAGUAACUGCUCCAGCCUUGACGGUAUCUGACCAGAAAGCCACGGCUAACUACGUGCCAGCAGCCGC
rnacentral:rRNA from 1 species